UAUCGAUACCAUCGGUACAGCUCUAGCGUUCACAACAAAAUAUACACAAAUUAAGUUGUUUUAAGCCGAAUUUUCCGAUUCCCAGGCGACGAGAUGAGCUCAACGCGACCGUUCUGCUUCGUUUGCGGCAAGGAGAAGUCCGUGGGCGUGUUCCAGCUGAUCGAAGGCUGCAUAGUGCCAGGCACCUUCAAGCCGAUCAAGGAUAUACUGAAGUACUUCGAGAAGAUCAUCAACCACCGACUGGACCUCGCGCCCAACUCCGCCGCCUGCCGCGACUGCCUGGAGUAUCUCUUCAACUACGACCGGCUGGUGAGGAAUCUCAGCCAGGUGCAGCGCCAGAUUGCGGACGCACUGCUGGGCUGCCGGCAGGUGGAGGGCAAGCCGGAGAGCAAACAGCAGGCCUCCAAGAGGGCCAGGGUGCAGGUGCCGGCCUUCAAGAUCAUCCAGGCCACCCCGCUGCAGGAGCGGUCGCCGGAGAAGCACGAUGAGCCAGAGCAAGAGGAGGAGGGCGACGGCGAGGAGUUCAUGCGGGAGGAGAUGCUGGACGAGGACUUCCAGUUCAGCGAGCCGGACGACAGCAUGCCCUCCUCGGAAGAGGAGUUCUUCACCGAGACCACCGAGAUACCCUGCCACAUCUGCGGCGAGAUGUUCUCCAGCCAGGAGGUUCUCGAGCGGCACAUCAAGGCGGACACCUGCCAGAAGUCGGAGCAAGCCACCUGCCAAGUGUGCGGCCUGAAGGUCAAGGACGACGAGGUGCUCGAUCUGCACAUGAACCUGCACGAGGGCAAGACCGAGCUGGAGUGCCGCUACUGCGACAAGAAGUUCUCCCACAAGCGGAACGUGCUGCGGCACAUGGAGGUGCACUGGGACAAGAAGAAGUACCAGUGCGACAAGUGCGGCGAGCGCUUCUCGCUGUCGUGGCUCAUGUACAACCAUCUGAUGCGCCACGACGCCGAGGAGAACGCCCUGAUCUGCGAGGUGUGCCACCAGCAGUUCAAGACCAAGCGCACCUACAAGCACCACUUGCGCACCCACCAGACGGAUCGGCCGCGCUAUCCCUGCCCCGACUGCGAGAAGUCCUUCGUGGACAAGUACACUCUGAAGGUGCACAAGCGGGUCCACCAGCCGGUCGAGAAGCCAGAGUCGGCGGAGGUGGCCAAGGAGACCACGGCGACGUUCUUUUAGAUGUAGUCAUCCCUGCUAGUUUAAUCUAAGAAGCCCAGCUUAUGGGUCUCUAAGCGCGAACUCUCGCAGGUAGAAUCGCGGAUUUCGCGAAACUUCGCCGGCCAUGGUAAUAAACUGGCAGAUGUUUUCCCGAUUCCCAGAAGAGGUCCUUCUACCUGUGUGCGGGCCGUAUAUAAGGCCAUGCCGCG